GACGAACGCUGGCGGCGUGCUUAACACAUGCAAGUCGAACGGAAAGGCCCUGCUUUUGUGGGGUGCUCGAGUGGCGAACGGGUGAGUAACACGUGAGUAACCUGCCCUUGACUUUGGGAUAACUUCAGGAAACUGGGGCUAAUACCGGAUAGGAGCUCCUGCUGCAUGGUGGGGGUUGGAAAGUUUCGGCGGUUGGGGAUGGACUCGAGGCUUAUCAGCUUGUUGGUGGGGUAGUGGCUUACCAAGGCUUUGACGGGUAGCCGGCCUGAGAGGGUGACCGGCCACAUUGGGACUGAGAGACGGCCCAGACUCCUACGGGAGGCAGCAGUGGGGAAUAUUGCACAAUGGGCGGAAGCCUGAUGCAGCAACGCCGCGUGCGGGAUGACGGCCUUCGGGGUGUAAACCGCUUUCGCCUGUGACGAAGCGUGAGUGACGGUAAUGGGUAAAGAAGCACCGGCUAACUACGUG
rnacentral:rRNA from 1 species